rnacentral:misc_RNA from 1 species
CAACCCUCAAGCCCCCGGGUUUGGUGUUGGGGAUCGGCUCUGCCUUCUGGCGGUGCCGCCCCCGAAAUACAUUGGCGGUCUCGCUGCAGCCUCCAUUGCGUAGUAGCUAACACCUCGCAACUGGAACGCGGCGCGGCCAUGCCGUAAAACCCCAACUUCUGAAC